AUGAGCAUGUCCACUGGAGGAGUAGUGCCAGCUCCGCUCUGCCAGGGCUUUCUGAAGAAACGGAAAGACAAAAUGAGGCUUCGGUGGAUGACUUACUGGUUCAGACUUUACAAUACAACUCUCUUUUUCUACACUAAAAAACAUGGGAGUGCUAUAGACCUCAGAGGCCAGUAUUACAUAUAUGAGAUUCAGUCUGUGCGGGAGGUCAGCAGAUCUGAGAGCAAUCACUAUCUAUUUGAGAUCACAAUGAAAAAUGGGAAGAAGAAAAUGCUGGCAGCAGAUACAGCUGAUGUCAGGCAGGAGUGGAUGGAGCAGCUGUGGAAAGCCAUGCUGCUCAAUGGCCCUGACAGAUCUGGAUCUAUCACUAAUGGGGAGCUGCUGCCAGAUAACAACCAUGAAAUUCGGUCAAGCCAUUGUGAAGAAUCAAGUACUGAGACCAGCAGCACUUCAGUGGACAGCAGAUGUCUCUCCAUUGAUCAAGAGUCAUUCCAGUCCUUCGCUGGUACUGUCUGCAUUCGGGAUGUGACUUUCUCCUGUUCUACAUCUACAUUUAUUUCUAUAGCACUUUAUAUACUAUACAGGUUGUGUCAAAACAGCUUCAUAGAAAUAGUUAUUUCUAUGAGCAAUUAUGGAAACUCAUAUAUUCAGAUUCUGCUGUAAAGUAGCACUAAAAGACAAUAGUGUCAUCAUUUAGCUCAGGUCAGUUCAGAUCAAUAGAGUGUGAAGUUAAUUGAUCAGCUAAAGGCAGAUCUAUGUUAGGCAUGUUGCAGGAUGCACUCUCUUACAGAAAGCAAUAGUGCCAUCAUCCUGUUUAAUCGAGUUAAAAGUUUUGUCAAUGAGGUCAUAUUGAUAAAUUACGAACAGAUAAAUGUCUUUCAGACCACAACUAUGUAAACCAGAGGGCGACAGUGUAAUGAUAAAAUGCCUUUAUUUUAUUGGAAAAACUAUUUAAAAUAUUAAGGGUUAGUUCACACAAAAAUAGACCAUUUAAUGUUGGUUUUUCAGAUGUGUGUAAUGGACUUUAAUUGUCUGAAACAACACAUUAUAGAUUUUCCAGUUUGGGGUGAACCAUCCCUUAAAGUUAUUCCCUUCAGCAGAUGAAAUUCCUUGUCAGUCUUGUGUCUGUGAUACUUCUCAGGCAAAAGAACUCAAAUACAUUUGUGACC
ensembl:lncRNA